rnacentral:snRNA from 8 species
CGACUCUGGUUUCUCUUCAUUACGCACAAGCCUUUCGCCUUUUACUAAAGACUUCCGUGGAGAGGAACACUUACG